GCAGAUCCAGGUCCCGCCUCUGAUGCUUUAUGAAAGCUGGCUUCGCUCUGUUCAUCACUCUGCUGAUCAGACUGACAUCAUGCUGCUCACCGUCUGCGCUCUGCUCCCUGCUCUGGCAGUGGUCAGCUCACAGAAAGUAGUGACGCAAAAGCCUCCAGUUAUAACAGUAGAUAAGGGGAACUCUGUCACUAUGGACUGUAACAUCGCAAAGGAUGAAAAUUAUGUGUACUGGUAUAAACAGAUUCCACCAGCAGCUCCAGAGUUUGUGUUGAAAUUUUAUUAUUCUUACUCCACUUCUUUAUACGGAAACAAUUUUUCAUCCACACGCUUCACAUCUAAAGCCUCAUCAAAGAUCGACUAUCAGUUAAUAAUCAGUAAUGUGGAGGUGGAAGACUCAGCAGUGUAUUACUGUGAGACAUGGGACAGCUCUGCUAAAGAGCAUGUAUCACAGUGAUGUACACCGUAACAAAAACCUCCUCACUGCUCACACUCACUUCUGCUUUCACACAACACUAGAAAUAACAAAAACCUGAACUUCAAAUCACAGGAACUGAAGAGGAAACUUACUAAUUCUAUGAAUUCUUCAUAAUUAAAAAGCACAGAUACAUUAUGCCCUCUAAUUCCUCUGAUUUUUGUGAUCAGUAUAGCACAUAAUAAUUAUCAUAAUGUGAAGAGUAACUGGUACAAACUGGUUCCAGGAGCAGUUGCAGCUCACCCAUAGGGGCUGGUGAGGCAGAAACCCAACAUAUAGGCUACUGUAUACUGUAUAUCAGCCAUGUUCAUAAA